rnacentral:rRNA from 1 species
GACGAACGCUGGCGGCGUGCCUAAUACAUGCAAGUCGUGCGGACCUUUUAAAAGCUUGCUUUUAAAAGGUUAGCGGCGGACGGGUGAGUAACACGUGGGCAACCUGCCUGUAAGACUGGGAUAACGCCGGGAAACCGGGGCUAAUACCAGAUCGUUUUUUCCUCCGCAUGGAGGAAAAAGGAAAGGCGGCUUCGGCUGCCACUUACAGAUGGGCCCGCGGCGCAUUAGCUAGUUGGCGGGGUAACGGCCCACCAAGGCAACGAUGCGUAGCCGACCUGAGGGGGGGGUCGGCCACAUGGGAGCUGGGACACGGCCCAAACUCCUGCGGGAGGCAGCAGUAGGGAAUCUUCCGCAAUGGACGAAAGUCUGACGGAGCACCGCCGCGGGAGGGAAGAAGGCCUUGGGGUCGUAAAACUCUGUUGCCGGGGAAAAAAAAGUGCCGUUCGAACGGGGGGGGGCCUUGAGGGUACCCGGCAAGAAAGCCAGGGCUAACUACGU